AGCGAACGCUGGCGGCAGGCCUAACACAUGCAAGUCGAGCGCAGCGGCAGACGGGAGAGUAACACGUGGGAACGUACCCUUUGGUUCGGAACAACCCAGGGAAACUUGGGCUAAUACCGGAUACCGAAGGAUCGGCCCGCGACUGAUUAGCUAGUUGGUGGGGUAAUGGCCCACCAAGGCGACGAUAAGGAGCUGGUCUGAAGGAGGAUCAGCCUCACUGGGACUGAGACACGGCCCAGAAUCCUACGGGAGGCAGCAUUGGGGAAUAUUGGACACGUGGCGCAAGCCUGAUCCAGCCAUGCCGCGUGUGUGAUGAAGGCCCUAGGGUUGUAAAGCCCUUUCUGCGGGGAAGCGGUACCCGCAGAAGAAGCCCCGGCUAACUUCGUGCCAGCAGCCGCGGUAAUAC
rnacentral:rRNA from 1 species